CGUCCCAGACAGGCUCGCAGGCCUCACGCGAUUCUGGUCCUCCCCUAGCCCUUCCUCUUCCGCCGCCGCCGGCCUGGCUCCUCCGAUCCGCGGCGUCCCUGGUCCUCUGCGACGCCGCCGCAAGGCCGGGCUAGCUGCACCGCGCCUGCUCACCCGCACCCGCGCCGCCGGAGAGCGCGCCGCCACCACAGCCUCCGGGCUCCGCGUGGCGUUCUAGGUCACACCGGGCUUGUACAGCGAGUCCCGCCUCCCACCCUUCCCUCGCGAGCAGAGCGGUUCCAGCUCGCGCCCUCUCCCUCCGCCGCUCGCUGGCCUUAGAUCGAUGCUGCCGCCAAGGUUCGCUGAGCCAUUCUUCGUUCUAUCUGUAGCCUAAUGAUAUUGGUGAAUACUUGUUUCAGGAACAUAAGCGCCAAGGGAAAGGUACCUCUGCAUCGAAUGAUUUUUACACUUGGGAGCCUGUUGGAUUCCAACAAUCCAAAUCAAAUUCACUAAAAAUCUUCUCGAUUAGUCUUGGAGAUAUUGACAAAAAGAAGAAGCAGUAAGUGCACUCUUUGUUUUCCUGUUGCUGGUUUUUAUUGUUCAGGCUAUGUUCCUGUUGUCUCACAGUGGAUCAAAGCAGUGAAUCUCCAAGGAGGCCAUAUGAAGAUCAUGACUUGCAGUUCAGCAUGCCUAUUUGACUUUACCAUGGUGACUAGCACGGGAUUGCAAAGCUUCUGUGUAAUGAUAAAUCAGAUGAAAAGCUGAUGGAGAAUUCAGUAGUUAGGCCUGGUGUAUUAUGUGUAAUGCCUGAACAAAAGGAUGUAGUGUCCAUGGCAAUUGUGCCUUCUGUGUAAUGAACUUGUGAAUCGAGAAUGAAAAUGAAUAAAAUAUGUUUCUCAGUGAAGUUUAUCUUGUGCA